rnacentral:rRNA from 1 species
GAAACUACAAAUGAAGUUGACGGGGCCCGCACAAGCGGUGGAGUAUGUGGUUUAAUUCGAUGCAACGCGAAGAACCUUACCUGGUCUUGACAUCCCGGAGACCCUUAGGAACUAGGGGUGCUUCCAUCUGGAAGAAUCUGGAGACAGGUGCUGCAUGGCUGUCGUCAGCUCGUGUCGUGAGAUGUUGGGUUAAGUCCCGCAACGAGCGCAACCCUUGCCUUUAGUUGCCAGCAGUUCGGCUGGGCACUCUAAAGGGACUGCCGGUGUUAAACCGGAGGAAGGUGGGGAUGACGUCAAGUCCUCAUGGCCUUUAUGACCAGGGCUACACACGUACUACAAUGGCCGAUACAAAGGGCAGCGACACUGCGAGGUGAAGCCAAUCCCGUAAAAUCGGUCUCAGUCCGGAUUGGAGUCUGCAACUCGACUCCAUGAAGUUGGAAUCGCUAGUAAUCGUGGAUCAGCAUGCCACGGUGAAUACGUUCCCGGGCCUU